rnacentral:rRNA from 1 species
AUUGAACGCUAGCGGGAUGCUUUACACAUGCAAGUCGAACGAGCGGCGGACGGGUGAGUAAUGUAUCGGAACCUGCCCAGUAGAGGGGGAUAACUACUGGAAAGAGUGGCUAAUACCGCAUACUAUCGGAGGGGCCCAUAUCGGAUUAGCUAGUAGGUGGGGUAAAGGCUCACCAAGGCGACGAUCCGUAGCUGGUGUGAGAGGAUGACCAGCCACACUGGGACUGAGACACGGCCCAGACUCCUACGGGAGGCAGCAGGGGGGAAUUUUGGACAAUGGGCGAAAGCCUGAUCCAGCCAUGCCGCGUGUAUGAGAAGGCCUUAGGGUUGUAAAGUACUUUUAGCGGGGAAGCGGUACCUGCAGAAUAAGCACCGGCUAACUACGUGCCAGCAGCCGCGGUAAUUC